CCUGCAUUGGAUAUACACUGAUUGACUGCAAUGGAUUUUGUGCCUUUUUCCAGAACUUCUGUACAGAGAGAUAUUCAAGGUCUAACAUUCAAACAUCAACUCCAUGAAACUGUGGAAUCACAACUUGACUUCUGAUUAUUCUGUGGUUAUGAAGUAUGCACCAUCAAGUUGACGGGACAAAAGUAACAAAAGUGGUGGCCUAAAACAAAC
rnacentral:lncRNA from 11 species